rnacentral:rRNA from 1 species
AGUUUACAACUCCCAAACCCCUGUGAACAUACCUAUCGUUGCUUCGGCGGGAUCGCCCCGGCGCCUUCGGGCCCGGACCCAGGCGCCCGCCGGAGGACCCAAACUCUUGUUUCUAUGAGUAUCUUCUGAGUAAACAAGCAAAUAAAUUAAAACUUUCAACAACGGAUCUCUUGGUUCUGGCAUCGAUGAAGAACGCAGCGAAAUGCGAUAAGUAAUGUGAAUUGCAGAAUUCCGUGAAUCAUCGAAUCUUUGAACGCACAUUGCGCCCGCCAGUAUUCUGGCGGGCAUGCCUGUUCGAGCGUCAUUUCAACCCUCAAGCCCCCGGGCUUGGUGUUGGGGCUCGGCCCGUCCCUCUGCGGAUGCGCCGUCCCCGAAAUCUAGUGGCGGUCUCGCUGUAGCCUCCUCUGCGUAGUAGCUAACACCUCGCAACGGGAACUCAGCGCGGCCACGCCGUUAAACCCCCCACUUCUGAAGGUUGACCUCGGAUCAGGUAGGAAUACCCGC